AGAAGCUCGGCUACUCGUGCAGCAGCCGCGGUAUACGGAGGGAGCGAGCGUAAUCGGAAUUACUGGCGUAAAGCGCGCGUAGGCGGCUUUGUAAGUCGGAUGUGAAAGCCCUGGGCUUAACCUGGGAAUGGCAUUCGAUACUGCAGAGCUAGAGUAUGGUAGAGGGAAGUGGAAUUCCGGGUGUAGCGGUGAAAUGCGUAGAUAUCCGGAGGAAUACCGAAAGCGAAGGCGAUCUCCUGGAACAAUACUGACGCUAAGGCGUGAAAGCGUGGGGAGCAAACGGGAUUAGAUACCCCGGUAGUCCACGCCCUAAACGAUGUUCACUAGUCGUCGGGAUGCUAGUCAUCUCGGUGAUGCACUUAACAGAUUAAGUGAACCGCCUGGGGAGUACGGUCGCAAGAUUAAAACUCAAAGGAAUAGACGGGGACCCGCACAAGUGGUGGAGCAUGUGGUUUAAUUCGAAGAUACGCGAAGAAUCUUACCUAGCCUUGACAUUGAUAGAACACCCUAGAGAUAGAGUGGUGCCCUUCGGGGAACUUGAAAACAGGUGCUGCACGGCUGUCGUCAGCUCGUGUCGUGAGAUGUUGGGUUAAGUCCCGCAACGAGCGCAACCCUCGUCCUUAGUUGCCAGCAGGUUAAGCUGGGCACUCUAAGGAGACUGCCUUCGCAAGGAGGAGGAAGGUGAGGACGACGUCAAGUCAUCAUGGCCCUUAUGGCUAGGGCUACACACGUGCUACAAUGGGGCGUACAGAGAGUUGCGAUACCGCGAGGUGGAGCCAAUCUCAUAAAGCGUCUCUCAGUUCGGAUUGAAGUCUGCAACUCGACUUCAUGAAGCUGGAAUCACUAGUAAUCGUAGAUCAGCAAUGCUACGGUGAAUACGUUCCCGGGUCUUGUACUCACCGCCCGUCACACCAUGGGAGUUGAUUUCACCCGAAAUUGGGAAGCUAACCUUCGGGAGGCUACCACUUACGGUGGAAUUAGCGACUGGGGUGAAGUCGUAACAAGG
rnacentral:rRNA from 1 species